UACGUAGGGGGCAAGCGUUGUCCGGAUUUAUUGGGCGUAAAAGGCUUGUAGGUGGCCACGCCAAGUCGGAUGUGAAAUCUCCCGGCUCAACUGGGAGGGGUCAUUCGAUACUGGCGGGCUCGAGGCCGGUAGGGGGAAGUGGAAUUCCCGGUGUAGUGGUGGAAUGCGUAGAUAUCGGGAGGAACACCAGUGGCGAAGGCGGCUUCCUGGACCGGUUCUGACA
rnacentral:rRNA from 1 species